UGCCUCAUCGCCAUCGACGUUCUCCAACCGCCGUUUCAAACAGGCGAGGCGCGUCGUCGUAGCGGUUCGGUAGGAUAUGACAUGUUACACGAAAGGGUCUUUGGAACCUCAGCCUCAGCAUCAUGCGUAUUUUGUACUGGAAUCUCGGGAGCAUCGAGGCAGUACUGGCCAGUACGUCGAACAACUACGUUGUGCAUAACAACGAUUGCCGUGGUGUGCGAGAGCUAGCGUUCCUGUGUUCUCCGGCUUUGCAGUUAAGUACCCACACACAACCAUGGAUAGCCUCACACAUGUGUAAAGUUGCUGGUGUCUCUACAACACUGAAGAGCCAGGCAUAAACCGGAAGACGUCGCUUGGGUCUGCCAGUGAUUAGGCUGCUUCCGCAUGUAACCAUCUAUACUGCAAGAGAAACUGCGGGACGACGGUUGCCAAGUGGCGUAGCAAUCACGUGAUUAUUAUUAUUAUGACCAUUAUUGUCUUAUUAUGCGUCUUAUCCGUGUCACCCUAUAUUGUUAAUAAUUAGCCUAUUUAUGUUGUAAUAUCAUAUUUUGUACUAUUAGAAAGAGCGUUUCUUACAGUGCAUGUAACAUCACUGUACUUGGUUUGUGCUCAAUAAACAAGAGUUCGUUGA